rnacentral:rRNA from 1 species
CAGUCGUACGCUUCUUUUUCCCCGGAGCUUGCUCCACCGGAAAAAGAAGAGUGGCGAACGGGUGAGUAACACGUGGGUAACCUGCCCAUCAGAAGGGGAUAACACUUGGAAACAGGUGCUAAUACCGUAUAACAAUCGAAACCGCAUGGUUUUGAUUUGAAAGGCGCUUUCGGGUGUCGCUGAUGGAUGGACCCGCGGUGCAUUAGCUAGUUGGUGAGGUAACGGCUCACCAAGGCCACGAUGCAUAGCCGACCUGAGAGGGUGAUCGGCCACAUUGGGACUGAGACACGGCCCAAACUCCUACGGGAGGCAGCAGUAGGGAAUCUUCGGCAAUGGACGAAAGUCUGACCGAGCAACGCCGCGUGAGUGAAGAAGGUUUUCGGAUCGUAAAACUCUGUUGUUAGAGAAGAACAAGGAUGAGAGUAACUGUUCAUCCCUUGACGGUAUCUAACCAGAAAGCCACGGCUAACUACGUGCCAGCAGCCGCGGUAAUACGUAGGUGGCAAGCGUUGUCCGGAUUUAUUGGGCGUAAAGCGAGCGCAGGCGGUUUCUUAAGUCUGAUGUGAAAGCCCCCGGCUCAACCGGGGAGGGUCAUUGGAAACUGGGAGACUUGAGUGCAGAAGAGGAGAGUGGAAUUCCAUGUGUAGCGGUGAAAUGCGUAGAUAUAUGGAGGAACACCAGUGGCGAAGGCGGCUCUCUGGUCUGUAACUGACGCUGAGGCUCGAAAGCGUGGGGAGCAAACAGGAUUAGAUACCCUGGUAGUCCACGCCGUAAACGAUGAGUGCUAAGUGUUGGAGGGUUUCCGCCCUUCAGUGCUGCAGCUAACGCAUUAAGCACUCCGCCUGGGGAGUACGACCGCAAGGUUGAAACUCAAAGGAAUUGACGGGGGCCCGCACAAGCGGUGGAGCAUGUGGUUUAAUUCGAAGCAACGCGAAGAACCUUACCAGGUCUUGACAUCCUUUGACCACUCUAGAGAUAGAGCUUCCCCUUCGGGGGCAAAGUGACAGGUGGUGCAUGGUUGUCGUCAGCUCGUGUCGUGAGAUGUUGGGUUAAGUCCCGCAACGAGCGCAACCCUUAUUGUUAGUUGCCAUCAUUCAGUUGGGCACUCUAGCAAGACUGCCGGUGACAAACCGGAGGAAGGUGGGGAUGACGUCAAAUCAUCAUGCCCCUUAUGACCUGGGCUACACACGUGCUACAAUGGGAAGUACAACGAGUCGCGAAGUCGCGAGGCUAAGCUAAUCUCUUAAAGCUUCUCUCAGUUCGGAUUGUAGGCUGCAACUCGCCUACAUGAAGCCGGAAUCGCUAGUAAUCGCGGAUCAGCACGCCGCGGUGAAUACGUUCCCGGGCCUUGUACACACCGCCCGUCACACCACGAGAGUUUGUAACACCCGAAGUCGGGAGG